rnacentral:lncRNA from 1 species
AUUAGGCUGUCUUUAUAACUCUCAGCUCCUUCUUCCAGGACGCGAAUAAUUUGUGUUUCUUUUUUAGCUGUCAUAACAAUGGAAAGCUUUGCAAUCAGAUGGAUUGCAACAUGGUCUAUCCAAUUCAGCUUAACAAUUUUUCAAUCUUAUUUCAUUUCAUCUUCCAAGGAUCUGGAUGCUGACACAGCUAUAGAAGAGUAUGAAGGAAAACAUUUGAAGAAGAUGCUUUCCCCCAAGGCUUACCAUUACAGAAGAGCGAUGAAGUAAAAAGAUCUUCAUCCCUGGACAAUCUAAUGCAAACGCACCAUCUUCUGUUCUCAGUUCACGAGGAGGUCUGUGAGCGAUGCCCUGGAAAGGGAUGGCUCUCUGCCACCCUCCAUUCCUGUUCAGUCAGACAGGACUCUGUCACCUAUAUCCUGCCAGCGAAUGCUGCACUCUCUGUGUCCCAAGCCUGGUGCAGACUUUAAACCUGAGGCCUCAUUUCCACAGCAGCUCAUGUCUAUGAAUCAACUGUGAUGUCCAUUCUCAUGCUUGGAUGGCUCCAAGCAUCCCUUUUGGCCCCUCUAUUCCUAAUAAUUUAAAACCAUCCUUCUAAUAUCAAAAGUAUGUGGUUGCAGAUCUUUCCCUGCAGGGCCUGCUUCACAAAACAGCUGCCCACUGAAAAGAAAUGCACAGCUCCAAGAGGUGAGGUAUUCCAUGGUGUCCCUCAGGAAGCAAAUCUGUGGGUCUCUGUGAGUGUCAGACACUGCCUCUGUGAACUUGUGUGUCCCUGAGUAAUAACGCUCAUUUUCCCCACUCAAAUUCUGAACCAAGUAAGAGAUUCAUUCCAGGCUUUGGGGAAGGAGAAAUGAUGGCCUCUCUGAUAUUGAAGUGCUGUGUGAUAUAGACUCGUGCGCUUAGGCUAGGGCUGGACAGGACCUCCUGGGUUUCCUGGUGCCUGAAUUAUAGAGCUUGUAGUGUAGAAUAACAGAGCAGAUACCUGUGGGCUUCUCAAGCCCAAAAAGAAAGAAAAAGCUGGUCUUUGUAUUUCCAGGUCUUCAUGCAAGUAUCAGCCACAGGCUUAGUGGGGGAUCAGAAAGUAGCCAUGGGCCAUGCUGAUGCAGCUGCCUCCGUUGGAAAGAAAUCCCCAGGAAUGAGGGACACCUUCUAGUAGCUUAUGAUCGCUUUCCCCAACCUCAGCAUCACUAACAAUUUGGACUAGAUACCACUGCAUUGUGUGGACUGUCCUGCCCCUCUUAGGAUUUUCAGCAGCAGCCUUGGUUUCCAUCCACUAGAUAUUUGGAGCUCGUGUUCCCAAAUUGUAACAAGCAAAAAUGUCUCCAUAUGUCCAGACGCCCCCUUGUGGAUGGGGGUAAACUUGCUGCAGGCUGGUAACUAGUCUAGAUUUUAGUUAUAUUUGCCAUAAUAUGGUUCAUUUUGAAUGCUUCUAUUGAGUACUUACUAUAAGCCAGGCUUACCUUAAACAGCUCCUCUGGGCGACUCACAGAGGUCUAAGGAGAUAGUUGGUUGUCUAACCCUUCCCCAGCAAUGGCCUGAAUCAGAAAACCAGUUUGACCAAGUGGACUUAGGUCUGCCAUUCCUUUCGUGGUAAGCUGCCUCUUAGAAACAGACAUUUCUCUACAGGUCUUUCAGUUUCUGUUUUGAGAAUGGCUACUGCACCCAGCCCUGACCUUCGGAACAUGUGCCUGUGGCCCAUGAAAUUUGUUUUUUCUUUGAGUAAUGGGGCUUUUCAACCUCAUCUCCAUGGCAUCUGUGAAAUCAAAGGCAUUUGUUUCACAACAAAUAUUAAAGCCUGAACAGCUUAAUCUUGACAGAAGGCAGAAUCUCUAUGGAAAAUACAGGGUUUAAAUAAAAAUAACUCACUAAUGCCCAUAUCCAGGGUUUCUGAAUUUUAUAAACCAAAUAUAUUGAGCCAUAUGAUUGUUAUACUUAGGAUAUCAUGUCAAAUAGUUAUUUUCAAAGAAGUAAUGUUUCAUUUCCACUAUUUAAAUUUCAUGGUGAGGUAGUGGUGGCCUAAAUGUAGCAACCUCACUGGGAAACAUUUUUUGUAAGAUCUUUUCCACAGAGGUGUCAGAUAUACGGGACACAAAUGAUUGUGAGAUUUGGGGCUAACUUUUAAAAAAUGACUUUAGUGGAAUAGGAAGGAAAAGAGUAUCUUUUUAUAAAAGUAGCUCACAUUUUCUAGGACACAGAGCAUUUUUAUGAAAGAUUCCCUUUAAGGCUCCUACUUUUUAGUGUGUAGAAGCAUCACCAGGAAAAAUGAGAGACUCUUGCUUGUAAUGGUUAUUGAAUUAGGGAGGGGACAGGGUAAGAAACUCAACAGGACCAAGGAUAUCUUAGUUCUAGAUACUUUUAUCUGUGAGAUGAUUUUCUUUUGUCACUGCCCUCUUAUUUUAUGAAGACUUUAAAAUGAGACUCUCUCUCUGACUCUGAGUUUCCUUAUUCUGGAAUAAAGAAUUUAGGCAAGACAAACUCACAAGAGUGCUCUCACCACUCUUUAUGUGUGUUGUGUGAUAUUUACAAUCACCCCAUGGAGAAUAACAUAUGCACACACACAUGGGCAUACACAUGCUGAGCACACCUAUACAUACAGGC